UUAUACAUGCAAGUCGAACGGCAGCGCGGGCUUCGGCCUGCGGCGAGUGGCGAACGGGUGAGUAAUACAUCGGAACGUGCCCUGUCGUGGGGGAUAACUAGUCGAAAGAUUAGCUAAUACCGCAUACGACCUGAGGGUGAAAGCGGGGGACCGUAAGGCCUCGCGCGAUAGGAGCGGCCGAUGUCUGAUUAGCUAGUUGGUGGGGUAAANGCCUACCAAGGCGACGAUCAGUAGCUGGUCUGAGAGGACGAUCAGCCACACUGGGACUGAGACACGGCCCAGACUCCUACGGGAGGCAGCAGUGGGGAAUUUUGGACAAUGGGGGCAACCCUGAUCCAGCAAUGCCGCGUGUGUGAAGAAGGCUUCGGGUUGUAAAGCACUUUUGUCCGGAAAGAAAUGGCCUGGGCUANGACCCCGG
rnacentral:rRNA from 1 species